CUGUCGUCAGCUCGUGUCGUGAGAUGUUCGGUUAAGUCCGCUAACGAGCGCAACCCUCGUCGUAUGUUAUAUGUGUCAUACGAGACUGCCGGUAAAAAGCCGGAGGAAGGUGAGGAUGAUGUCAAGUCAGCAUGACCUUUAUAUCCAGGGCUACACACACGCUACAAUGGUCUGUACAAUGGGUAGCCAAGCCGCGAGGCGGAGCCAAUCCUGAAAGCAGGCCUCAGUUCAGAUUGCAGUCUGCAACUCGACUGCAUGAAGCCGGAGUUGCUAGUAACCGCAGGUCAGCAAUACUGCGGUGAAUACGUUCCCGGGUCUU
rnacentral:rRNA from 1 species